rnacentral:rRNA from 1 species
AUUGAACGCUGGCGGCAGGCCUAACACAUGCAAGUCGAGCGGUUGACGGGAGCUUGCUCCCUGAUUCAGCGGCGGACGGGUGAGUAAUGCCUAGGAAUCUGCCUAUUAGUGGGGGACAACGUUUCGAAAGGAACGCUAAUACCGCAUACGUCCUACGGGAGAAAGCAGGGGACCUUCGGGCCUUGCGCUAAUAGAUGAGCCUAGGUCGGAUUAGCUAGUUGGUGAGGUAAUGGCUCACCAAGGCGACGAUCCGUAACUGGUCUGAGAGGAUGACCAGUCACACUGGAACUGAGACACGGUCCAGACUCCUACGGGAGGCAGCAGUGGGGAAUAUUGGACAAUGGGCGAAAGCCUGAUCCAGCCAUGCCGCGUGUGUGAAGAAGGUCUUCGGAUUGUAAAGCACUUUAAGUUGGGAGGAAGGGCAGUAAGUUAAUACCUUGCUGUUUUGACGUUACCGACAGAAUAAGCACCGGCUAACUCUGUGCCAGCAGCCGCCGUAACAC